rnacentral:lncRNA from 1 species
CUCUCUCUCUCUCUUGCUCUCGCUCUCUCUCUCUCCCCCUCUCUCUCUCUCUCCUUCCUUUAUAAACUCUAACCAUAGCUGUGUUCUCGAAGCUACUUCCUAAAUCAACAUUAUGAUCCUCGAGUUCGAUCGAGCUUCUUCAAUCGUGUAACAGAUCUCCAUUCUCAUUUCUGACCACACCUCCUAUACCAGUUUUGCCAGUUUCCAUAACAUAACUUCCAUCAGUAUUUGUUGCCAAUUUUGAGGUUAUUUAGAUGUAACACUGUGUUAUAGCUACAUGCCUUUUUCUUUCAAUUCUCUCUCUAAUUAAUGAGUGUAUUAAUAGUGCAUAAUAUGCAGCGGCAAGUAAUACAUACUUAAUUGUGGUCUGAUACAUCUCCGAUUUCACCUUAACUAUUUGCAAAUGCAAGGAGAGAAUUACUUUCAUGACUUCAAGUUUAUAUCUCUGUGGUUAAGAGAAAUUUUUGUUGCUCGAUGAGAAUGGUUUGUCUGCCGUCUAGUAGUGGUUGCUGUUUUCAGCAGAAUGUUAACCAGUGGUCUUGAGUUCUUUUCUUUCCUAUUCUUUUAAACCAUAUUUAUUUAUGUGUAUAUAGAGGAUACACCACAUAAAGUAUUUUUCCGUUAGAAAGAACUGGAAUUACAUAUUUUGCUGCAUUUGAACCCGAGGUUCAUUAUCAAUUCUAGUGUUGUAUCUCUUGAUAAAGGUGACAAUGAAGAUGUUCUA